rnacentral:rRNA from 1 species
CUCGCUUUUGAUACUGCUUUUCUUGAGUAGUGGAGAGGGAAACGGAAUUCCAGGUGUAGCGGUGGAAUGCGUAGAUAUCUGGAAGAACACCAGUAGCGAAGGCGGUUUCCUGGCCACAUACUGACGCUGAGGCUCGAAAGCGUGGGGAGCAAACAGGAUUAGAUACCCUGGUAGUCCACGCCGUAAACGAUGGGCACUAGAUAUCGGGGAAUUCGAUUUCUUCGGUGUCGCAGUUAACGCGAUAAGUGCCCCGCCUGGGGAGUACGCCCGCAAGGGUGAAACUCAAAGGAAUUGACGGGGGCCCGCACAAGCGGUGGAGCAUGCGCUUUAAUUCGAUGCAACGCGAAGAACCUUACCUGGGUUUGACAUGGGAGUGAGAGUUCCUAGAGAUAGGAACCUUUCCUUCGGGAACACUCCACACAGGUGCUGCAUGGUUGUCGUCAGCUCGUGUCGUGAGAUGUUGGGUUAAGUCCCGCAACGAGCGCAACCCUCGCCCUUAGUUGCCAUCAGGUAAUGCUGGGAACUCUAGGGGGACCGCCUGGAACAACCAGGAGGAAGGUGGGGAUGAUGUCAAAUCAUCAUGGCUCUUACGUCCAGGGCUAGACGCGUGCUACAAUGGUCGGUACAGAAGGAUGCCAAGUCGUGAGACCGAGCUAAUCCAUGAAAACCGGCCUCAGUUCGGAUUGGAGUCUGCAAUUCGACUCCAUGAAGGUGGAAUCGCUAGUA